rnacentral:rRNA from 2 species
CGCAAUGGACGAAAGUCUGACGGAGCAACGCCGCGUGAGUGAUGAAGGCCUUCGGGUCGUAAAGCUCUGUUGUUAGGGAAGAACAAGUACCGUUCAAAUAGGGCGGUACCAUGACGGUACCUAACCAGAAAGCCACGGCUAACUACGUGCCAGCAGCCGCGGUAAUACGUAGGUGGCAAGCGUUGUCCGGAAUUAUUGGGCGUAAAGGGCUCGCAGGCGGUUCCUUAAGUCUGAUGUGAAAGCCCACGGCUCAACCGUGGAGGGUCAUUGGAAACUGGGGAACUUGAGUACAGAAGAGGAGAGUGGAAUUCCACGUGUAGCGGUGAAAUGCGUAGAGAUGUGGAGGAACACCAGUGGCGAAGGCGACUCUCUGGUCUGUAACUGACGCUGAGGAGCGAAAGCGUGGGGAGCGAACAGGAUUAGAUACCCUGGUAGUCCACGCCGUAAACGAUGAGUGCUAAGUGUUAGAGGGUUUCCGCCCUUUAGUGCUGCAGCAAACGCAUUAAGCACUCCGCCUGGGGAGUACGGUCGCAAGACUGAAACUCAAAGGAAUUGACGGGGGCCCGCACAAGCGGUGGAGCAUGUGGUUUAAUUCGAAGCAACGCGAAGAACCUUACCAGGUCUUGACAUCCCAUGACAACUCUAGAGAUAGAGCGUUCCCCUUCGGGGGACAUGGUGACAGGUGGUGCAUGGUUGUCGUCAGCUCGUGUCGUGAGAUGUUGGGUUAAGUCCCGCAACGAGCGCAACCCUUGAUCUUAGUUGCCAGCAUUUAGUUGGGCACUCUAAGGUGACUGCCGGUGACAAACCGGAGGAAGGUGGGGAUGACGUCAAAUCAUCAUGCCCCUUAUGACCUGGGCUACACACGUGCUACAAUGGAUGGUACAAAGGGCUGCGAGACUGCGAAGUUAAGCGAAUCCCAUAAAACCAUUCUCAGUUCGGAU